rnacentral:rRNA from 1 species
AUUGAACGCUGGCGGCAGGCCUAACACAUGCAAGUCGAGCGAGCGGCGGACGGGUGAGUCAUGUCUGGGAAACUGCCCGAUGGAGGGGGAUAACUACUCGAAACGGUAGCUAAUACCGCAUACCAUCAGAUGUGCCCAGAUGGGAUUAGCUCGUAGGUGGGGUAACGGCUCCCCUAGGCGACGAUCCCUCGCGGGUCUGAGAGGAUGACCAGCAACCCGGGAACGGAGACACGGUCCAGACUCCUACGGGAGGCAGCAGUGGGGAAUAUUGCACAAUGGGCGCAAGCCUGAUGCAGCCAUGCCGCGUGUAUGAAGAAGGCCUUCGGGUUGUAAAGGACUUGCAGCGGGGAGGCGUUACCCGCAGAAGAAGCACCGGCUAACUCCGUGCCAGCAGCCGCGGUAAUUC